ensembl:lncRNA
ACCGGGGCCUGAGCCCCAUCCAGAGGGUCCUGUUGACCUGGGCCCCCGCCUAUGUCAGAACAGGAAGGGUGUGACGGACCCCAGAGAGUGAGCUGCACCUCGGCCUAUGCCUGCCCUGCAGGCCGAGCCAGGUGGUGACAGUGAUGAGGCUGACUGUCCCCUCGUGGUUCAGCCACCGUUCUGGCCAAGCGAACUGGUGUGGAGCUCACAGCCACUCAGACACAGGAAAGCUGAGGGGCAUGGUGGGGAGUAGCCUUGGGGGACUGAAAGCCGGCCACGCGGCAGGAGAGGUCCCCAGAGAAGCCGGUGGCGCUCCAGCCUGCCUGCAGCAUCUCCACCCGGAGAGCGCUGACAGUGGCCCAUAAAUCAUCAUCAGUACCUCCUGCUCCAAAAACAGGCCCAUCCUGACAGCCGGUCUGCGGAGCGGCAGCUCAGCGCCAAGCUCAAUCACCAGAGAAAUCAGUGUAAUCAGCAUGAAAUUGCAUCGGAAACAAAUUUAGCAAACACAGUCCCAUUUGGGGGUGUGACGUGGCCUGUUCGCAUAGCUGUCCCCUCCAGCUUUCCGGCGCAAUCAGCCCUGCCGAGGGCCUCAGGCCCGCCGGCGGGCACGUCAAAGCAGGCACGGGUCUGUGGGCGCAAUUAGCGCUCAAAUCAAGCAGGAUGGGGGUGGGGGUGGUGCCAUCUGACUGUCAUGCACAUGGGAGCAUCCAGGCUGUUAGCCCUUAAUGCCAAGGCCGGGCAGGCCUGCUGCGCAGGGCAGCACACGGUGUGGGGGUGUCCGGUGGCCAGAGUGAAGGCUCCAGGACGCUGGGCUGAGCCCUUCUGUGUGCCAAGCUCUGCACGAAGCCGUGGCGAUGCGGAGGCAGGGUUCAGGUAACAGCGCCUGGGAACACCCUGGUGACUGCACAUGGGGGCCUGUGGUAGCCGCCAGCUGGACAGACAGGAAGGGCCACCUGGAGAGGGGCAGUGCCCCUCGGGCCAGGGUGACUCGGGCGGCCGUGCUCCACCAGGGAGCACAGGCUGUCCUAGGCUCCUUGGGAAGCAAAGCGCGGGCCCUCAAUCGCACCUGGAGGCCGCGGGACCCUUCCGAGGCUUCUCCAGGGAGCCGAAGUCACCACGCGCCGGGCCUAAGCCGCCGCCCCACCCCGCACUUCCGCUUC